AUGACUGUGAGCUGCCACGUGGAUGCCGGAAUCAAACCCAGGUCUUCUUCGGCCCUGGUGCGCUCUCCCCAGCCCUGGCAUCCUCUUUCGCUGCCCCUCACCGACCUACCAUAGAUGCUAUCUCGGAACACCUUGCUGGCUGCAUGGGUGGACGCCGCUAGAGCCAGAUGUGCCUGUUUGCCUCACUCUCUGAAGACCAUUGCCCUUUAAGUUCCCGGACUUAGGAAAUCUGGCACUGCUACUAAAACCAACUGUGACCAAGGAACGCACAGAAGAAUGCAUGAGGCGGAUGUGGGGGAGCCCAAAGACUAGGGAAGGGAGCUGAGUCACCAGGCCUCAGGACCCCUACAGGGAUGUGGGCUGUCCGUUGUUUUCUAAGGGCCUGGUACCCGCUCUGUUUGCCUCUUCUGUCUGCAGCCAUCCUGAGCUGACAGCCCUGGUGGUCUUGUCUGUGGUCUCAACCUAGCCAAGUCUACAUACAGCCCACCAGGAUCUCAGCCUCCCUAGGCAACAGGAGAGUGGGCACAGCCACUGGGGCAUGUUUCCUGGGCUUCUCCUGCUCCAACUAUGGGAUGGCAGGCCUGAGAGCAGCCAUCCUCCUGCUCCCGGCCUUAUGUGGGAGACCCUGUGGCCGCCUGACUUCACAGUAGCAGGUCUGUCCUUCGCUGGGUCUGAAUAUCUGGCACAAACAACAUGGCCGGGCAUGGGGGGCUUAGAUUUAUUUCAGCUCUCAGUUUCUCGUUUCAGCUUGUGACUUCUUGUCCCCACUGGGGAUGUGUAGGAGACUGUGACAGUGGAAGGUCGGGGUGACCAGAGGCACUUCUUGUCCAGUGACAGACAGGAAGUAGGGAGACAGAAAGG